CACCAGCAACUUUACUAAGUCCUCACUAUGAAGUGAAUCUGGUGACAGCAUAUAUAAUCAUGGUGCUCAUGGGCAUCUGGGCAUUCUGUGUUGCUGGAGGCAGCCGCCGAAGCCUGAAACUCUGUCUGCUCUGCCAAGACAAGGACUUUCUUCUUUACAACCAGCGCUCCAGAUAACCUCUGACGGUCAGCACCUCCAAACAGCAGCCUGUGUGCCAGAGGAAGGGCAGCCGGGCCCUGUUCUAAAAUGACCCUUUUCUUCUGGAGCUUUGGAGCAGCAGAGCUUCUAGCCUGCAACUGUCCUGUGCUUUCAUGCAGCAGCCUCUGGAAGAGCUGCAGUGUGGCCUGCAGCCUGGCUGCACAUUUGAGGCAUCUGGGGAAACAAAGACCGAUGCUUCUGGGCCUCCCCUCCAGACUCGAGUAUCCCAGAUGUGCAAUACAGCUGAGUCACUGGGGUCCAAUGGGAAGUUUCAGAGAACCCAAAGGCAGUUCUGUAUUUGUCUCCUAAGCCAACCUCUGCUGAGCAAGUAAAUUUCUGAAAACCUGGAAAAAAAAAAAAAAAGAAAGUAAACUGGGCUUCCUGCUCACCGUGUCAUGUGAUCUGUG
rnacentral:lncRNA from 1 species